rnacentral:rRNA from 1 species
CCUACGGGCGGCAGCAGCUAAGAAUAUUCCGCAAUGGACGAAAGUCUGACGGAGCGACGCCGCGUGGAUGACGAAGGCCGUGAGGUUGUAAAAUCCUUUUAUUGGGGAAGAAUAAGCGUUGGAGGAAAUGCCAGCGUGAUGACAUGAACCGAUGAAUAAGCCCCGGCUAACUACGUGCCAGCAGCCGCGGUAACACGUAGGGGGCAAGCUGGGUGCGGAAUUAUUGGGCGUAAAUGGGAAAUCCGGGGGUGAAAUCCCGUAGCUUAACUACGGAAUCGCGUUGGGAACUGCUAGACUUGAAUCGUGGAGGGGGAGCUAGAAUUCCAGGUGUAGGGGUGAAAUCUGUAGAUAUCUGGAAGAAUACCGGUGGCGAAGGCGAGCUCCUGGCCAAUGAUUGACGCUGAGGUGCGAAAGCGUGGGGAUCAAACAGGAUUAGAUACCCCUGUAGUC